rnacentral:rRNA from 1 species
GACGAACGCUGGCGGCGUGCUUAACACAUGCAAGUCGAGCGGUAAGGCCCUUUCGGGGGUACACGAGCGGCGAACGGGUGAGUAACACGUGGGUGACCUGCCCUCAGCUCUGGGAUAAGCCUGGGAAACCGGGUCUAAUACUGGAUAUGACUCCAUGACGCAUGUUGUGGGGUGGAAAGCCUUGUGCGGCUGAGGAUGGGCCCGCGGCCUAUCAGCUUGUUGGGGGGUGAUGGCCUACCAAGGCGACGACGGGUAGCCGGCCUGAGAGGGCGACCGGCCACACUGGGACUGAGACACGGCCCAGACUCCUACGGGAGGCAGCAGUGGGGAAUCUUGCGCAAUGGGCGAAAGCCUGACGCAGCGACGCCGCGUGAGGGAUGACGGCCUGGUGU